AAUGGGGUAUUAGCAUCUGAAUUUAGCAACGGAUAAUUCCGUUGCUAAAUUCAGUAACGGAUUUGCAACGGAUUACAUAUAUAUUAUUUUUUUAAUAUCAGCAACGGACUUUAGCAACGGAUAAUCCGUUGCAAAAUUUACGUUGAAUUUAGCAACGGAUUUUCCGUUGCUAAUUAAAAAAAUAAUUAUUUAAAUUUUAAUAUAAAACCAAAAUUACGAACACCGUUGAUUACAUUUACAAGGAUUAAAUCCCAACCGUUUAUUUUUCGCUGGCUUUGGUAAAUCGACCCCAGUGCUCUUCCCCCACACCGAAAUGCAAACAGAUCUAGACGAAAUGAACAAAACCAACAGAUCAAAAUUAAUGAUCUUCCACUCUUCCAGUCUCCUUCGUCCCUAACAAAAUCGAACCAGAACUGUAGAAAAAUCACCCUCUCUUCAUCGAUUUGAUUUUCCUUUAUCCCAAACAUUUCAUCUUCUUCGUGUCUUCAGCAUCCCUAAUUUCUUUUCUUCAUCUUCUUCUCCUUCAUCUGAACAAAAUCGAACCAGACCCAUCAUUAUCACCAUCGAACGUGCUGAUUUAAGGUAUCUCCUUGUAAACGGGUUGGGUGUUUCACGGUUUUCUUCAAUAGUUCAGGUUUCUUUCUGUCCUGUAGAACGAUCUCGGUCACCUGUAACUCAAGAACACAGCAAUAUGAAUGGCUUAUUGGAUCACAAUAUAAAUCAAUAGAGUUGGCUAAGUCUGAUUGGGUUGCAACAAGGAAAUCUCCACUUUGGGCCAUUGAUUAUUGGGGCUUUGGUAAGUCAAUUUUGCUCCAUUUUUUGAUGGUUGCUUAAUUAGAUUAUGCUUAAUUUGUCUGCUGGGCAUGCCUAUUGUAAUCUUUUCAAUUAAUUGGAACUCUGUUUUUCAUUGGGAUAAGAUUAUUCAUAUUUAAAUUUAUUGUCCUUGUAGAUCCUAGUAUGUGAACAUGAUGCUGGGAUUAUAUUCAAUUAACUUUUCUGGGCA